ensembl:lncRNA
GCUUUGUGAAGGACGCAGCCUGCAGUUUGACGUCUUUUUCUUCCUUUUAUUGUACUUGUGCGUCUCACUGAAAAGGGAAAUAAGUUCUUACGGUGUCUACUUGAAUGUCAACGUAUUAAACAUUUUUGGAAACAUCAGUUAAGGAGCAAAAGACCAUCAUUUCAGUGGGGUAGCAACAGUAAGAACUUAUCCAUUCGUCGUCGAAGCCUGCUGCAUUGAUGACCGGUGUCCACGUUGACGGGUCUUUAAGGAGUGAGUGUUCACGUGCAGAGGAUCGAUUUCUGAUGGUUGAACUAGUUUCGUUUAUGAAUCACAACGGUUGAAACGGAGGAUUAAUCGACACACUACGGACUGUGAAAGGCUGUGUUCUUCAGGUAUGUGGGUGGAUCGGCACACAAAGCCUUGAAUGGCACCUUCUACAGGAGUGACAACGAAGCAUAUACGGAUGCCUGGAGCAGAUUAGAUCAAAGGUAUGGUCAACCAUUUGUGAUACAACGUGCCUUUCGACAGAAGCUUGCAAACUGGCCUAAAAUUCAGUCAAGGGAUGCUGUUGGACUCCGAGAGUUUUCAGAUUUUCUGAAUGCAUGUCAAGAUGCCAUGGCUCAUGUUGCAAAUCUACAAAUUUUAAAUGACUGCGAGG